rnacentral:rRNA from 1 species
GGUGAACGCUGGCGGCGUGCUUAAGACAUGCAAGUCGAACGGCAGUCUUCGGACUGUAGUGGCGCACGGGUGAGUAACGCGUAACUGACCUACCCCAAAGUCGCGGAUAACGAUUCGAAAGAAUCGCUAAUACGUGAUGUGCUGUCAGAUUGUGUUCUGCCAGUAAAGAUUGAUUGCUUUGGGAUGGGGUUGCGUUCCAUCAGCUAGUUGGUGGGGUAAAGGCCCACCAAGGCGACGACGGAUAGCCGGCCUGAGAGGGUGGCCGGCCACAGGGGAACUGAGACACGGGUCCCACUCCUACAGGAGGCAGCAGUCAGGAAUCUUCCACAAUGGGCGAAAGCCUGAUGGAGCGACGCCGCGUGAGGGAUGAAGGUCUUCGGAUCGUAAACCUCUGAAUCAGGGACGAAAGACACUUCGGUGGGAUGACGGUACCUGAGUAAUAGCACCGGCUAACUCCGUGCCAGCCGCCGCGGUAACAC